rnacentral:rRNA from 1 species
AUGGCCGCCAACGAGGGAGACGGGACCGGAGCGGGCGCGGCGCCCACCGUCGUCGGGCUGGCGCUCGGCGGCUCUAAAUCCAGCGCCUACGUCCUCCAGUGGGCGCUCGCCAACUUCGCCAGGGACGACGCGCCUCCCGCCUUCAAGCUCAUCCACGUCCUCACCCCGGUCCUGGCCGUGCCCACGCCAAUGGGGGGCCGCCUCCCGAUUGAUGAAGUCAAGUCCACCGUCCUCGACGACUAUCUCGGGAAAAAGUGGAUCAAGAAGCAGCAAAUGCUGUUCCGCUGCAAAGACACAUGUGAUGAAAACAAGGUUGAAGCUCAAGUACUGCUUGUUGAGGGUAACGAUGUCGCGGAUACCAUUUCCAGUCUUGUUUCUCAGUACCAGAUACAGAUCCUCGUUGUCGGUAACUCUUCCAGCAUGAUCCCGUUCACUAGGAUGUCCAGUGUAACUAGGACGUCCUCCAAAAUCUGCAAGAGUGUCCCCAGCUUUUGCACAGCAUAUGUUGUUUCAAAGGAUGGAUUGUCUUCAGUUUAUGCUUCUGAAUCAGAAAGUGGCUCGCCCUCUGGCUCUCUAGUACCAAAAGGCAACUCCGGGAGCUCCGAGACCGAAGAAUUUAUAGAUUCCUCAAUAUCAGAUUUGGAUGACAGUUCAGGGCGGGGCGUGCCACGCUCCAACUUGGCAUCAGAGAACCUUGAAAGUAUUUCUUCUGUUGAAGGUUUUAAUCUAUAUGAUUAUAUCACUGGAAAUGAAUCAGUAUAUGCCAACAAGGACAGAAAAAUUACCCCAUGCACUGGUGCUCAAAGCUCUAUAUCAAGUCAAUCUCAGGGUUCAGACAAGGUGCCAACAAAAGAAAGUUCACUGCUGGGAUUCAUGCUUUCAGACAACAAGGGUUCGGGCAAGGUGCCAACAAAAGAAAAUUCACUGCUGGGAUUAAUGCUUUCAGAGAACAAGGAUGAUAUCAGUGCAGAGCUUGAAAAGCUGAAGCUUGAACUGGGACAUAUACAGGGAGCAUAUAAACUCGUUCAGGAUGAGUCUGUCGAUGCAUCUCAUCAGGUGAAUGAAUUAGCUGCCAGGCGCAUGGAAGUGGAAGCUCAGUUAAGUGAGAUACAGGCCAGGGUGGAUAAGGCCAAUGACGAUGUACAGGAACAGAUGGCGCAGAGACUCCUCGCAGAGGAGGCAGCAACCCAAGUAAAGGAUCUUGUGAGGGCGGAGGUUAUGCAGAAAAAUAGGCUGCUGGCAAAGGCAUCCAAGGACGCUGAUAGGAAGGCGAGGCUGGAGAAGCUCCUUGUGCUUCAAGGCGACUCGUACUCGACGUUCACUUGGGAAGAGAUUGAUAACGCUACAGCAUCAUUCUCAGAGUCACUCAAGAUCGGAACUGGGUCUAAUGGGACUGUAUACAAGGGCCAUCUCAACCACUUGGAUGUAGCGAUAAAGGUCCUUCAUUCUAAUGACACCUCCAGUACCAAGCAUUUCAAUCAAGAGCUUGAGGUUCUGAGCAGGAUACGCCACCCACACUUGCUGGUGCUCCUGGGAGCCUGUCCGGACAAGGGCUGCUUGGUGUACGAGUACAUGGAGAACGGCAGCCUUGCGGAUCGUCUGCAGCGCAGAAAGGGCACACCAGCGAUCCCAUGGGUUGAUCGCUUCCACAUUGUCUGGGAAAUUGCUUCAGCCCUGGUGUUCCUGCACAGCACAAAGCCCAGCCCAAUCAUCCACCGUGACCUGAAGCCUGAAAACGUCCUCCUCGACAGAAACCUAGUGAGCAAGAUUGGUGACGUGGGCCUGUCAACCCUGAUGCCACAGAAGGAGACUCUGUCAAACCGCACGGUGUACAAGAGGACGGGUCUGGCGGGCACACUGUUUUACCUGGACCCGGAGUACCAGAGAAGCGGGCAGGUGUCGGUGAAGUCGGACACGUACGCGCUUGGCAUGGUGAUCCUUGAGCUGCUGACGGCCAAGUCACCGAUCGGACUACCUGAGCUGGUGGAGCGAGCAGUGGAAGACGGCCAGAUUACUGAUGUCUUGGACAAGAGUGCAGGGGACUGGCCCGUGAAAGAAGCGCAUGAACUUGCCCAGCUAGGGCUAAAGUGUUUGGAGAUGCGGAGCAAGGACCGGCCUGACCUCAAGAGCGUGGUGGCGGUGGAUCUGGAACGGCUGAAGCAUGGCACGGCCGUGCCAGGCUUGGCCGGACCGCCCAGCCACUUCAUGUGCCCAAUACUCAAGAAGGUGAUGCAGAACCCGUGCCUGGCGGCGGACGGGUACUCGUACGAGCGCGACGCGAUGGAGAUGUGGCUGUGCGACCAGAACACGUCGCCGGUGACCAAGGCGCGGCUGCGUGACAAGAAGCUGGUGCCUAACCUGUCUCUUAUGAGCGCCAUCGCGAGCUGGAUGGCCCAGGGGGGGAGGCCCCUGAUGGAGUGA